rnacentral:rRNA from 1 species
AUGAACGCUGGCGGCGUGCCUCAUCCAUGCCAGUCGAGCGAACAGACGAGGAGCUUGCUCCUCUGACGUUAGCGGCGGACGGGUGAGUAACACGUGGAUAACCUACCUAUAAGACUGGGAUAACUUCGGGAAACCGGAGCUAAUACCGGAUAAUAUAUUGAACCGCAUGGUUCAAUAGUGAAAGACGGUUUUGCUGUCACUUAUAGAUGGAUCCGCGCCGCAUUAGCUAGUUGGUAAGGUAACGGCUUACCAAGGCAACGAUGCGUAGCCGACCUGAGAGGGUGAUCGGCCACACUGGAACUGAGACACGGUCCAGACUCCUACGGGAGGCAGCAGUAGGGAAUCUUCCGCAAUGGGCGAAAGCCUGACGGAGCAACGCCGCGUGAGUGAUGAAGGUCUUCGGAUCGUAAAACUCUGUUAUUAGGGAAGAACAAAUGUGUAAGUAACUAUGCACGUCUUGACGGUACCUAAUCAGAAAGCCACGGCUAACUACGUGC